UUUUUUGCUCUUUUUGUCAUUUUAGCGACACCACGUCGUGGUAAAUUCAUAUGGCCCGAUGAUUCUAAGCCCAGAAGAUGAGCACACAACGUGUAUUCGAAAUCCAUGAUGUAGGCUUUAAAAAGUCACCGGGGGGGGGGGGGGGGGGUNNNNNNNNNNNNNNNNNNNNNNNNNNNNNNNNNNNNNNNGGGGGGCAGUAUAGGUUGCUUACCUUUUGACCAACCCCAUUUGCCUAACACACGCAUGGACGAAGAACGAGCAACCCCACACCUGAUUUUUUGCAUUUUACUUCCAAAAUUUACGGUUUUAUUUGUUUCCUAACUGCAUUUGGUAAGUGUUACAUUCCAUAAUCUAGUUAAUUCCCCUCAUUUUAUGCAUUUAGUUUUUAGGGUUUGUCUUAGGGUUAAAAUACCCAAAAUUAAGUCACUUGGUUGAUUAAUUUCGAAUGCAUGUAUGAUGUAAGACCUUAGAUAUAUAGGAUAGACAAACCCCAAGUGCUAUUGUUAGUUAGUUUUGACCUUACUUGUACGGAUUUGUAUUCUCGACAUGAACCGUGUCCAUGACGUGGAUUUGAAACCCACGAUGUGGAUUCUGAGAAACCGGUUUUUUGCUUUGUUUUGCUAUUUAAUAUCUUGGUGGGUUUGGUUUGUUUUGUCUGUUAUUAUUUAUUUCAGGAACAAAUGGGUCGAAUAGCUAGUAGGAUAGUAGGUAAAAUUAGGUGUAACUAUUUGCACGCAUCAAUAAGCCAUGAUUCGGGCUAUGAUGGCCGAACAGAAGGAAGCGAUAAGGUAGAUGUUGCAAGUAAAUAGGGAUGAACCUAUUGUGACCAUUAUCCAACUUGAGCUAAUCACCAAACAGUCAGAGGAAGGAAAUUACAAUUGCACUGUGAUCCAAUUGGAACCCCCAAUGGUAAGAAGGAAUGACCCGAAGAGGGGAAUCAACAGAGAUGAAUGUAUGUAUAAGAACUUCUUGUGUGCCAAACCACCAAGUCUUUCUACAAGCCCAAAUGCUGUAUAGAUUAUGGAUUGGAUCUCUGAAAUGGAGAUGGUAUUUGAAAGCUGCAACUGUAACGACAAUCAGAAAACCGUCUUUGUAGUCAGACAACUAAAGACCGGAGUCUUGAGCUGGUGGAAGUUAUUGGUAGAUACAAUGCCACAAGGAGAAGCCCUGAAAAUGUCUUGAGAAGUGUUCAUGGAGUAGUUGAAAAUGCAAUACUACUUAGAGAUAGAUCUGAAUAAUAAAUUUCAGAACUUGAAGAAAGGAAAGAUGAGUGUUGAUGACUAUGCCACCGUAUUCACUUAAAGAAUGAAGUUAUUUCCCUACUAGGUGCCUAUUAAACUAGCUAAGAUAGAGAAAUUUGCUAACAGAUUUCCAUCAGACUAUGGGGU
rnacentral:lncRNA from 1 species